rnacentral:rRNA from 1 species
UACGUAGGGGGCUAGCGUUGUCCGGAUUUAUUGGGCGUAAAGAGCGUGUAGGCGGCCAAGUAGGUCCGGUGUGAAAACUCGAGGCUUAACCUCGAGAUGUCAUCGGAAACCAUUUGGCUAGAGUCCGGAAGAGGAAAGUGGAAUUCCUGGUGUAGCGGUGAAAUGCGCAGAUAUCAGGAAGAACACCUAUGGCGAAGGCGGCUCUCUGGUCCAUUUCUGACGCUGAGGUGCGAAAGCUAGGGGAGCAAACGGG